CAGCUCUGUCAAACGCUGCUGCUGGGUGGAGCUCCCUGAAGACAGAGAGUGAACCCUUGGUUUUCGCCAUGUAGAGGUCUGCUGUGCUGAGACUCAUGGCAAACCCCAGGAGCCACCUAUGAUGUGCCAGACACAUAAGCCCCUCCCUCACAGGCGUGGGUGCAGCCGGGGCCGACCGCAUUCCAAGGAGCAUUUCCUCUGAAAGCCAGGCCAAGUGCCCGCUCUCCAGCGAUUUUGGUCUAGGCAACAUCAGAUGAAAACGAACACUAAGGGCAAUCCUGAAGAACCAAAAGAAACUGGCAAUGGACAGGGGUGAAUUGCAUCCUGUACUGUUUACAGCCUUAUCUCCAACUUUUGCAGAGUCAAGAAUUUAAAAGCAGCAGGGCUUGGUGGCCCAUGCCUGUAAUCCCAAUAUUUUGGGAGGCCGCAGCGGGAGGAUCACUUGAGGCCAGGAGUUCCAGACCUCCCUGGGCAACAUGAUGAGACCACAUCUCUACAGAAAAAUUAGCUGGGCAUGCUGGCAUGUGCCUGUAGUCCCAGCUCCUCAAGAGGCUGAGGUGGGAGGAUCACUUGAGCCCAGGAGGUCAAGGCUGCAGUGAGCUAUGAUCACACCAAUGCACUCUAGCCUGGGGACACAGUGAGACCCUGUCUCAAAA
ensembl:lncRNA MIR5689HG MIR5689 host gene